rnacentral:tRNA from 1 species
AAAAUUGUAGUAUAAUUUUAUUAUAUCCCAUUGUCAAUGGAGAGAUUUAAGAUUUUA